CGAGGGUUGCACCUCGUUCCCGACCGAGAUGUAACGGAACCUUACACCGUUGAAGUUGCGGACGUUGUUGCGGACCCACGUGUCAGCUUCCGCUUGGCUGGAGGCGAUACGCUGGAGAUCAGGGUUGGGAACAUCGAGCAGAAGGUCGAUGUUAGAGCCUCGCAGAGCGGAGAGAACCUCUUGGUUGGGAUCGUAAAGCCGCAUGCGACGGAUGUUACGGUUGCGGUAAAGAGCCACCGCAUCAGCCGGACGUGGCAGGUUGUUUCCUAUUCUCCCGUAGCACACUCCGAUUUGCGCAGCUACAUAUAUGUAUAUCAAAUUAAUAAUCAUUAUUAAUAGAAAUAAGAUUUACAAUGAUAUUAUCGAUAUCGAUAGGUUAAAGAAGGUAGCUAAACCUGCCGUGUGGAAGAAGGAAGCCAUUAAGAAGCUAAGAAGAAGCAAUAACAAUGGUAGUGAGGCUAAGAACCUCGAUUGAUCACUAGACAUCUUCAUGAAAUAACAAUUGAAGAUGAUCUUAUAAUUUCGAGUUUUGUAUGCUUAGAUGCUUAAAACCGUAGCAUUUUGCGCCUAAUUUAUAGAGGGAAUCGGUGAUCUUAGUCAAUGAAAUGAAACAAAAAGUCAUCGCGUCAUAUCAUCACUAGCUGUGGAAUGUUGUAAAUUAAAUCACCGUUCAUGCAUAUCUCACUAAAUUCAUGCUUUGAAAAGUCUUGUAAGUGUGAGUUUUCUCCACAUGUAAGAGCAGCCCAUCGAUGCGAUCCUAUAAUUAAUGAUUUUUAUAUAUAUAAAGAAAAUUCAAUCAUAUAUGUGAUGGCAUAUGGAGGGAGAUGUUUUCAUAGGUUUCAUGUAAGCUUUAGAGAUAUGAGAACAUAUUUUCAUCGUUCUCCAAUGUUUUAAAAAAACAAUCUAGAUACCCACUAAAUUAAUCUCCUAAUAACAGCUUGGACCUUAAAGAAAAUAGUUUUUGGAUCCUUUACGUUUUUUUUUUGCUUUAGGCUGCAUAAAAAAAAUUAAACCUUUAUGUGUAAUUUUCUGUUGGUAGAUUUUGUUAUGGAACCAAAAGAAAUAAUAUACAUAUAAAAUAAUUUAUGAUUCUUUCUCAAUCUUGUUUUUGUUUUUCUUUGUAAUCCUCUUAUUUUUGUAUAGUUUCGAAAUGCUUAUAUGUUUUUUUUUUUGUUAAAAUGAUAUAGGUGGCUUUAUUUAAUUAUUAGGAUAUGUGAUUGAGCGGGGUGUCGCACUCCAUAAACCUAGCCGGCCCUUGAUGUAGCUCUCAAUAAGGCCUAACCAGCUAGACACUAAAAUCUUACUGUUAAAUGGAACGAAUCGUCCACCGCCUCAAAUUCAAAAAUACCGAGUCUCAAAGACUCAAAGUUUGUGUGGAAACUGCAACUUAUGUUUUUGAAAAUAGGCCAGAUUAAAAUAGUUCAUCCAGAUAACAUAUUUUUAUUUUUUUUUAAAUUUCUCAAAAAAAUAUAAACAAAAUAAUAUAUUAAAUAUAAAUUUGAUUAACAUAUGUCAGGAUACCUAAACUUAACAUAUAAUUAUUUUAGUUCAAAUAUUUGGAUAGAUAAUCAAUAAUUAUUUUAAGUAUUUUUAGUGUUUUAAGUAUACUUUUACUAUUUUAUAUAUUUACUAUUGGUUAUUUGUAUAUAUUUUCAAGUAUUUAAACCAGCUUAAAAGUAUCAUAUAUAUUCUAUAUGUUUUUAUAUAUAUUAAAUCUAAAAAUAAUUAAUAUAUAUAAGUAUAUAAAUCUAUUUCAGAUACAUUCGGAUAUUCGGAAUACUUCCAUUCGGAUCGGAUUUGGUUUCAGCUCUCCAAAAACUAAAAUUUGAAUAAUUCGGACAUUUAACCAAAAACUUAAAACGAUGAAAAUGCAAAACAGCAUAUAAAGAAGAACUCAAUCACGAUUCACGAUCAACGGUGAAAUUCCUCUAAAACCGAUCUGAUGAUGAUGCAUCAAAAAGCUGUCAGACUUAAAUAAAAAAUAUAUAUAUAUAUAUAUAUAUCUUAUAUGUGUGUGUGUGAAACCUUAUCAUGUACACAUUAUUCAACAACCUAGUUACGAUAAAGAUGAUGAAGAUAAGUUUGAUGAAAUUCCAAUGCCAAAUAUGUCGAUGAUGAUGAGAAUCAUGAAAUGGACAUUUUGCCUCAAAUCGUGAUCAUGUGGGAACAAGAUUAUUGUGAGCGAAUGUGUGUAUUCUGCAGUAAAACCAUGAUCACGGAUUACUUUAAGAAGAUAUCUUUUUACUGAGAAACAUACAUUGAAAAAUAAGAUGACUAAAUUUUAAGAGGCAUUUGAGCUAUAGCAGGAGAACAAUAUAACCAUUAAGCAUGACUUGAAUUGAAUGAAACACAUAAUAAAUUCCUAUAUGUUAAACAAUAGAUGUGCGGCAUUAUACAACUAUAUGGAAAUGAGAAUACAACUAUCUAGAAAAUAUAAGUGGUCUAAAAAUUGUUUUAGGCGUUAGACUCUCUAGAACCAUAGAGUUUUUUUUAUAAAACGCCUAGGUAAUUAUAAUAGGGUAAUAAUAAAUAAUAAAUAACUUAGUGUUUAUAAAUUGUAGUAAUUACUUUAUUUUAAUAUAAAAUUUUAUAAAAACAAGUAAUAUGAACAUUAGUAUUCGUAAAUCAUGAUACUUAAUCUAUUAUUAGUUAGUCAGUCUAUACGUUUACGGUUUACCAAUUAUAUAUAUAGUAUAUUGUUAUAAUUGGUAAACCGUAAUCAUUUAGGCCAACUAACUAAUAAUUUACUCGUCGGAUAGGUGUUAGGCGUUGAAUCACUAUUCGCUUAACGUCUAAUGAUUUCUUGAACACUAGACUAAAUUGUAGAAUAAACAAAUUUUUAUUUGAAUUGAUUAUAAAAUUGAUAUAACAGAAUAAUAUAUAUAUAUAUAUAUUUAUUUAAUCAUCAAAUACUGAAAAAUAUGAGUGAUUAAUAGUGUCUUCAAUCUUUUUUAUCCAACAUAUCUGAACAUGAAUGAAUUCACACAGUCUUUUGCCUUCUUCACAUCUAUCUAUUUUCUUCUCAUUACACACAACCACAAAGAUAUAAAUAGAUGUUAGGAAAAAAUGUAUAUGCUGAAUGAAUAUAAAUAUAAAUUUAUAUAAAAUUUACAAUUAUUGCCAAAACUUACUCGGAUCUUAAGCUGAAAUACAACGAAUAUUAACACAUUCAAUUCGCAUUGUUUCCCACAUUACUUAGAAUGUUUACCAAAACAUCCGAAUGAAUCUGGUUCGAAUGGACCACUGAUACGUAUGUUAACAAAAAUAUUGAAACGAGUUCAUGCAUGUACCCGAGACGCAGAAUAUAAGGAUGGACAGUCUGGCACACAAUGUCCGGAAACAAUUGUCCGGAAACAAUUGUAUACCUCAUAUUUAAUCAUAUGCAAAACUAACUUAAAAAAGUGAAAACUUAUUAUUUACCCUUUAUGACAAAACAAAAAAAAUCAGGAAUUAUUUUACGAUUCUGACUUUCGCAAGAAUAUCUGGUCCAUCUGCAAAUUCUAUUGUAUAAUCCAAAAAGUAUAUACAGUAGAACCUCCAUAAAUUAUUAAAGUUGGUACUUUGAAAUUUUAUUAAUUUAUAGAGAUAUUAAUUUAAAAAAAUUCAUUAUUAGAUUUCUUAUUUUAAGAUAUAUUUAUUUAAGAUAAGAAAAAUAUUUGAUUUUUGUGCAUAGACAUUAAUUGUUAUUUUUUUUUAAAUCUGACAUUUAUAUUAAUUUUAUUAUAUUAUUUGGUGUAUAUAAUAUAUAUUGUAUUGAACUUAAAUGUGGUUUUAGAUAUAAUAUUACUAAAUAUCAUCAAAAAUAUAUGAAGUGUUAAGAAAAAGUAAAUAUAAUUUCAUUGUUAAUAUAAAACAAACAAUAUAGUAAUAGGUUCUUACUUAUAUAAAAUAUGUAUACAUAUGAACUAUCAAUACAUAUAAACUAUUAAUUUAUAUAUUUACAUAGAAUUUUCUAAGAAAAUAUUAUCUUAUUAUUUUAUUGGUUUCUGUCAAAUUAUAAGUUUAUUAAUUUUCUUGUCUCAUUAUUUCUUAUUAUUGUUACAUGUUUCCCACUUUUUGGAAUCUUUAUUAAUACAAGCCCUCGAAUUCCAUUCAGCUCAUAUCACUAUAAUAAAGUGUCUUCAAGGAUAUUAAUUAGUUGAAAUUGACACCAUACUUGGGCUGUUGAUUGGGAAGAAACAUUCCAAAGAACUUUUCAAACUCAGGACUCUUCUGAUUCUCAUCGAACAUACCGAAUAUAUAAGUCUCGAUAGGUCUCCCUUGUCUUCUAGGAGAUCCACUCUUCACAGUUUGUAUCAAAUUGUUCACAUAAGUCCUUGCAUUAUCCACAUUUGUCGCGGUUCCUCCAGCUGUCGGCCAACCACUCUCCGAGACCACAAUCUCCACCGAUCCUCCUCCUGUUUUCUCCAAUGCCGCAUAAACAGUGUCUACGAGUGCGUGGAAGAGGUUUCGGUAUGCGUUUGACCCAUCAUUGACUACAGUGGACGGUGAAGUGAACAGAGCAUAGUCCAAACGGAUGUCUCUCAUGUUGUUGAUGUAGCUGAAGUAAGGGUAGACAUUCACGAGUAGUGGAGAUUGCUUGCUCACCAAGAAAGCUAUCACGGGAGCGAUAAAGUUUCUAAAUUCAGGUGUGAAUGUCCCACUCGAAGGAGGAAACCCACUAAUGCCUCUGGUGUCUAUAGCCGUGGAGACCUUGAUCCCGAGGCCUGAAACCGCUCUAUCGAUGUUCUGCAUGGCGGGGAGGACGAACCUCGAGGUUGGGUCCGAGGGUUGCACCUCGUUCCCGACCGAGAUGUAACGGAACCUUACACCGUUGAAGUUGCGGACGUUGUUGCGGACCCACGUGUCAGCUUCCGCUUGGCUGGAGGCGAUACGCUGGAGAUCAGGGUUGGGAACAUCGAGCAGAAGGUCGAUGUUAGAGCCUCGCAGAGCGGAGAGAACCUCUUGGUUGGGAUCGUAAAGCCGCAUGCGACGGAUGUUACGGUUGCGGUAAAGAGCCACCGCAUCAGCCGGACGUGGCAGGUUGUUUCCUAUUCUCCCGUAGCACACUCCGAUUUGCGCAGCUACAUAUAUGUAUAUCAAAUUAAUAAUCAUUAUUAAUAGAAAUAAGAUUUACAAUGAUAUUAUCGAUAUCGAUAGGUUA
rnacentral:lncRNA from 1 species